UCCAGGUUGAGGCCCCUUUACACUGCAUUCUCCUUGGGGAAGGUCACAGAGCAGGAUGAGAAUGGAACCGGGAGACAGGAACAAAGCAGAGACCCUGAAGCCUGGUCUGUGGGCAGAAAAGCCUCUAGAGGCCCGACUAUCAAAGGGACAUGAUGCCUUUAAGGAGGAUGAAGUCAUCGGGGGAUGAGGCCACCUGGCUCUGCAGCCAGGGCUGCUGCCGAAAAGGAGGAGCAGAAGGUGGAAGACUGUCAUUCCACUCACACCUACCAGGUUCAUCAUAAGACCGUCUGCUCAGGACCAUCUCUAUGAACUACUAGAGGUUUCCUGCCAUCGUGGAGCACAGAUUGCUCUGUUCAGGCCUCACAGUGAAAUCAGGACAAGAUAUUCCUGCGUAGUCCUCAUUCCCUUGCUGCGCUUGUCAGGGAAGUGGAGCACAGGGUAAAGUUUGAACUUGAAGUUGGGCAGAUCUGGAUUCAAACCCAGCUCUGCAGCUGUGUGGCCUUGGAUAAGUAAUUAAAACUCUCUGAGGAGUUUCCUCAUCUGCCAAAUAGAGAUGAUAACAGUUCUUGUCUUGCAUAGGUUAUCAUGAGGAUUACAUAAGGUGAUGAAUUGGUGGUAAUACACUAAGCACUGUGCCUAGGGCCAAGUGGAAGCUUCCUGGAUCCAUUUGGUGUCUAAUUUAUCUGUAGAUUUCCCAUAGCUGUUUGCACAUGCUGAUGAAAUGUGAUGGGGCAGAGGAUUUAUAGAUGCAAAAUUGCUUUGGAGGUGC
rnacentral:lncRNA from 1 species